rnacentral:rRNA from 1 species
CACGUAGGGUGCGAGCGUUUGUCCGGAUUUAUUGGGUUAAAGGUGCGUAGGCGGCCGCUUAAGUCAGUUGUGAAAUAUCCCGGCUCAACCGGGAGGUGCGAUUGAUACUGGGCGGCUCGAGUAACAGCGAGGUUGGCGGAAUUGACGGUGUAGCGGUGAAAUGGCAUAGAUAUCGUCAAGAACACCGAUAGCGAAGGCAGCCAACUAGGGGUUAACUGACGCUGAGGCACGAAAGUGCGGGGAUCAAACAGG